AUCUGGGGAUAGGAGGGGCCAGGUUCCUCAGCUGAGGUCCUGGGGUGCCAUGGCUCCUCUGGGGUGGUUGUGUUGGGCUCAGGGGCAGGGAUGGGGGAGCAGGCUUAGAAGGUGCUGAUGCUCUUGGCUCCUGAAGUUCCCUGGGGCCUGGGCUUGCCUCUACCCCAUCCCCAUCCUGUUCACCUCAGCACAGCUGCAGGCCUCUCCACCCCAUGCCCACGUUCCCAGCCUCCUUCACGUCCCACCAUAGCUUCUGCCUCGACCACUGAGUCUGAGUUCACUGUGGCCUUAGCCCCCCAGUGAGAGUGGACACAUGCUGCUGGACACCAUCCAACUAGAGAAAGCCCCCACACCUAUCCCUACCAGUUAGAGAGACGAGGUGUGAGCCCCCCCCCACACAUCCUCCACCAUGCAACUGCUUCCACCUCAGUGGGGAGGGAUGGGCCAGUUUCCUGUUGCCAGAGCCAGUGCAGGGAGGAAUCAUGAGGGCACACAGGCCGUAUGGAGGGUCACCCUAGCCGCCCAGCUUCCCCCCUUUCUAAGGCCUGUUCACUGCUGGCAUGUAGGUGCCCACAACUCUCCACACUACAGGUUGUCAUGGUUGGUCCUGCCUUCCUUGGCCAAGGAGAUGCUAGGUGCCAGGCAGGUGCCCUCUCCACAGAUCAGCAUCUCAGCAGAGAGAAGCAGGAGGGCAAAGGGCUCCUCAGGUGAGGGGUCAGAUCAGUUCCCAGUGCUGAGGCCUAGGCUGCACCAGGCCCCCUUUCUGAGGCUGCCUGCAGCUCUUCCCUGGUUUCCUGUGAACCAUCUGUGUAUCUCCAAUAUUUUUCUUGACUUUUUAAGUUAUCGAGGGUCAGUUUUUCUUGCUAGAUUCACCCAAGUAUAUUUCCAAAGACCCGGCAUGGCUUUUGGCCAAGUCAGUCUGAAUUUAAGUGCCCAGGAAGGGCAGAAUACUCAGGGGCAGUGAAGAGGGGGGAAGGACUGUAUAAACAUCAAGAUUAGCCCACACUUCCACCAGCAGCCCCCCGUUCAUGGACCCACGAUUCCAGAACUGGGAAGGCCCUUCAGGCAGUAGAGCAGUGUGGUGAAAGGCCGGGGCUCUGGAAUCAGGCUUCCUGCAAAGCCCUGCUUUACUGCUUACCAGUAGUGCCAUCUCAGUCAGGUCACCUAACCUCUCCUGCUUCAGUUCUCCCAUGGGGAUCCCAGUGGUACUCAACAGGUGCCUCACUUAACCCUCACAACCCCAUGGGGUGGUGGCGAGGACUAAGUGAGAGAGCCUUGCACAGUGUGGUGCUCAGUGGGCAUUUGACACGCUCACCAGAGAAGCACCACCACCAGGGCCUCCACUCCUCUGGGAUGCAAGGACAAGGAGGCGGCCAGGAUUACACCAAUCAUCUCUCCCGCCAAAAGUGGCACCGCCUUCGGGAGUGGAGAGGGCUGAUGUUAGGGCACUGUACUCCAUAGUGGGCAAAGGCAGUUUUGGUGGAGAUGGUGGCUGUCUUCAAGAAGUGAGAUGAGGAACAGAGGGACCCCACAGGCAAGGUGGUGUGAGGAGCAGGAGGAAUGGGGUACCCUGCCCUCCCUUCCAAGCUUGUGCAGCAGCUGGGUAGGAAAGGUUGACCAGGAUGGGCCAGGCAGCCCAUUGUACUGGGUGGGGGCACCUCCUAAGAUAGCAGGGCUGCCUCCAGGCAUCCCACCGCAGCAGGAGCAAGGGGCUUGGCUGCACAAGCACCAGAAGACUCACAUGUCCAUGCCAAGUCACAUGUCCAUGUCUCUCAGGCUCGCUCUUUUGGUUUCUGGAAUCUGUCAUGCUCUCCCCUCCCACCAGGCUGCAUGGCAUCUCUGCAUUGUCCACCCAGAAAACUCCCAGUUAACCCUCAUUGCCCCCAGACCCUUCCUCUCUGAGCCCUCUCCUGUCACCCUCUUAGCACAGUCCCCAUACCUCCAUGGCCCCUUUCUGCCCCUGGCCAUCAUCUGCACUGCACCAUUGGUUGGUAGCAUGCACGUGCACAGUCUUUCCUACAAAACCGUGUCUAAGGAAGGCCUGAAGCAAGGGAUCUGCCCAGAGUACACUCUGUCUUUUGCUCCUUUGAACCACAGGAUUUGGGCAGCCUCCUGGGACUUUGAGGAACAGACUGGAGGGAGCAUUUUAGAAGCUAAGAGGUCCAGGUCCCUGCAUUCUUACCUCCUCCAGGCUCCUUCGGAUGUCACCCAGCAUGGAAAGGACAUCUUGAGUGGGCACCACCCCUGGGGGUAAGAAACACCACUAUCAGUGCAGCCAUGGCUGUGGUGCCCCUCCAUAGACUCUGGUCCCAUUCUCCAACAGCUGGCCUGAGCCUCUGCCUCCCUUCCUGGCUCUAAUUGCACACCGAUCCUCAAGGCACAUGCCUCCCCCUCUCCUAGACAUCCUUCCCACUGCAUCAAUUUGUUAGAACAUUGAUUUGUAUAACACCAGACCGCCACUUGUGAAGCCGCACACUGCCUUCCGAACACACGCCUUCUCCCCUGUCACACCAGGUGGUGGAGGUCAGAAACAACAACAUAGAGACAGAACCGGGCCCCUGGAGCUGGCCUCGGGGAGGAGCUUGAGGAGACCUUUUCUCAUUGUGCACUCUCUUGUACCAUUGAGGUUUUCUUGACCAUGUAAUAUAUGUAAUUCCACAAUUUAAAACAAAAACAAGAGCCUGGCCCUAAACAGGAACUCAGCAAGUGGCAGGAGCCCAGGCUGGGCACAGGCCAGGACACUGCCUCCUGGUUCACAGCCUGCCCUUUGUCCCUACCCAGCCCCAUCUGGAAAGAUACCCUCUUUCAGCCCUGUGGCCACUCCUCACUCCGGCUCCUUGUCAGCAGCCUUCUCCCUCCUGAACAUGCACAGUUGCACGUUCCUAGUUCCUAGCCUCCACAGCCUGCUGCAGAUACCCCUCUCCCAAGUGCUCAGUUCUAACGAUGCCCUGCUAUGCAGCUGAGAGCCAGCGCUACUGGGAGGCACAGGCAUCCCACCAGGCCAGCCCGGCAGGAUGCCCCGCCAUCCCAAAUCUCCCUUCUGCUGGAGCCCAGGCUAAUGAGCUGUCCCUAGUUGUCAUUCCAACCUAAAGGCUACCGGGGGAUUGAAGUGCUGGGCCUCUAUUCCUUGUUACCAUGGCAAGUGCCAGGCUUAAGCCUUGGCACUCACUGGUCUAACAGCCAGCCAACCCAGUUCUAAAUGUGGGAGAAGAUGGAUGCCUGGAGAUGGCCACAGAGCAGCUAGAAAAGCCCUAGUUCUGUGGUGGGUUUUGCUUUCUUCACUGAUUGAAUAUGGGUGGAGGUUGGGGUGCAUGGCCGCCCCUGCUGGAGCAAGUAUGACAUACAGACCCUGGUUAUAAAACAAGCACUCUCCUGUUACACAGAGUGUCUGCCCUCUGUGCACAGCUCUGUGCUCUGCUGUGUCCGCAUACCCCACAUUUUCCUGGGUACAUAUGUCUGACUGGCUUAAGCCCAGAGACCCACAAUGUCAAUGUGGGAGAAUCUGAUGACUGCAGAUUUCAUGCCACUUAUUAUGUAGACAGAAAAACUGAAUGUCUGUGGCAAGGAGGUGAAGCCUUGACUUUGAAAUCAAAUAAAUCUGGGUUCUGGCCAGGUGUGGUGGCUUAUGCAUGUAAUCCCAACACUUUGGGAAGCCAAGGGAGGUGGAUCACUUGAGCCCAGGAGUUCCAAGUGCAACAUGGCAAACCCUGUCUCUACAAAAAAUGCAAAGAAAUUAGCCAAGUGUGGUGGCACACAUCUGUGGUCUCAGCUACUUGGGAGGCUGAGGUGGAAGGAUCGCUUGAGCCUGGGAGGUCAAGGCUGCAGUAAGCUGAGACUGUGCCACUGUACUCCAGCCUGGGCAACAAAAAUAAAUAAAUAAAUUUGUUCAAAUCCUGCUUCUGCCGUUUAUCAGCCCUCUUUGAUGUGAACAAAAUACUCUACCUCUGUGAGCCUCAGUUUCCCUAUCUAAAAACAUGGGCAAUGGUCCUAACACCCUGCCUUCCUGUGAGGUUUAAGAGUAAAGUACAUAUUCAAUCACAGGUGCUGGGACAACCAGGUAUCCCACAGAAACUAAUUUCAGAUGGACUAGAUAUCUAAAGUUUUCGGUAGUAAACACAGAAGGAUAUCAUCCAGUGGUGAUGGAUUAGAAUUAUAAAUAUUGAAUUCAUACUUUUAAUAUGUGUACAUGUAUUAUACAUAGAUGUAUGUAUAUCUAUGUCCUAGAAAGAGAGAGAGAAAUAAAGAUCCACCCCUCUCAGUUCUUCUGGAAGGGUCUAGAAGCAAUGAUACCCCAGUGGCCAUGAGCAUACCUGGGAACCAGAUCUUGGUUUCUACAUACUUUUCCUCAUUAAAAGGAAGCAGGAUUCCUUGCAGAAAUGGCUAAAUCUGGGGCUGGGGUAAGGAAAGUCCAAUGCAGCCUGAAACAUCUUACAAGCAUGUGUAUGGCAUACACUAAGAAGCUCUGCAGCUUCAGGCAAAGGACUGGCACCUCAUUACUCUGUGUCAGCACUGCUUCUUUUUCCAGAUCUUGAUGAUCUAGCCCUUUGCAUGGAAGCUCUCUUUCAGGAUUUUCACUAAAGGAUGGUCCACAUAUUUCUCCUCCUUGUCCUUGUCCUCUAGCACUUCUCUCUGUUGUGCUGAUCAAAGGAUCAGAUCCUUGCAUCUCCAUAGUAAGUAUUUAUUUUCCCUUCUAGAACUCAAAAACACCACCUCUGGAUUUACUACUUUAUCUUUCUGCUUCCUCUUAUAGGUUUCCUUCUUAGGCUUCUUUCCAGUUUCUUCUGUGUUACCUGUGACAUGUAGGUAAAAUAGAAGCCAGUGAGUCUGCAUCACUUUCUUUAGAUCUUGACGGCCUAACUCCUGGAACUGUAGUUCUAAAAACUUUCGCCAAGAGACUGCCAGCACUCUUCUCCCUUUCUUUUUCUGAAUAUGUAGUCUCUGUAUAGCCCAUCAUUUUUUAUGCACAUUAUUCCCAUCAUUUUUCAAAUAUGUCAAGGUCAUUAAACACAAAGAAAGGCUGAGGAACUAUUCCAGAUUAAAAAAGACUAUAGACAAGACAACUAAUGUGAUGCAUGACCAUGGAUUAUAUCCUGGAUUGGGAGAGAAGAAAGCUAUAAGGGACAUUAUUGGAAACAUGGUGAAAUCGAAAUAAUGUAGGUGACCACAUAAUAGUUUUGUAGCAGUGCCAAUUUCUGAUAUUGACCAUUGCAUUGUGGUUGUCUAAAAGAAUAUUCUUGUUCUGAGGAAAUAGAAACUAAUGUAUUUGGGGGUAGGGGCAAGAAGAAAUAAUGUCUUCAACUUUUUGUUAAAUGGUUUGAAAAAAUUUAACAGGUGGUGAAUCUGGCAAAGAAACUAAUAAAUAUAUUGAUAAAAUUUAGUAAGCAUCGACUAUUAAUAAUAAUGAUGAAUGCUCAAAAUCACCAAUCAUCAGAGAAAAUGCAAAUCAAAACCACAAUGAGAUACCAUUUAGGUUGGUGCAAAAGUAAUUGUGGUUUUUGUCAUUAUAUUCAAUGGCAAAAACCGCAAUUACUUUUGCACCAACCAAAUACCUCACUUCCCUUAGGAUGGCCACCAUUUUAUAAAACAGAAAGGCGCAUGCGUGUAGGAGGAUGUGGAAACAUUGGAACCCUAGUGCUAUGCUGGUGAAAAUGUAAAAUGGUAUGAUCAUAGCGAAAAACAGUAUGGAGAUUCCUCAAAAAAAAAAAAAAAUAGAA